UACGUAGGGGGCUAGCGUUGUCCGGAUUCAUUGGGCGUAAAGAGCGUGUAGGCGGCCAUACAGGUCCGUUGUGAAAACUCGAGGCUCAACCUCGAGACGUCGAUGGAAACCGUAUGGCUAGAGUCCGGAAGAGGAGAGUGGAAUUCCUGGUGUAGCGGUGAAAUGCGCAGAUAUCAGGAAGAACACCCGUGGCGAAGGCGGCGUUCUGGACUGUUUCUGACACUGAGGAACGAAAGCCAGGGGAGCAAACGGG
rnacentral:rRNA from 1 species